UGUAAAUGAAUGAGGGGGAAAAUGCUUUUCAACACACGGAGUAAUAUCCUGUUGCUUCAAGACAGCCUGGACUGCGGAGCCCUCUUUCCGUACCUUGGGGUACGGUUCAAAGUGUCGGUAUGGGGGGUAUACAUCAAACUCUUGCAUUUCGUGUCAUCCGUCUGAACUGUUUAUAAAGACCAGGUAAAAACUUUCGGGGGCGGAUCUCUUGGUUCUAUCCUCCAUGAACAACGCAGCGAAAUGCGAUAAGUAGUGUGAAUUGAACAUCUCAGUGAAUCCUCCAAACUUUGAAAGCGCUUUGCGCCUCCUUGGAUUCAGGGGGGCAUGCCUGUCCUAGGGUCAUUAUAAACCCCUCCCGCUGGUCAGCUUGGUCAUGGAAGAAGAGUGCGCUUGUCCGGUCUCCCUUCCCAAAUACAAUGGCGGACGGUCUCUGGUAUCGGCGUAGUAAUAACUGCUCGCCUUGUGUCUCGCAUGUUUCUGCCGUCAAACCCCCAAUUCUUUUUAGGUUGACCUCGGAUCAAGUAAGGAUACCCGCUGAACUUAAGCAUAUCUAUAAGCGGAGGAACUCCGCCUAUGAUACAUCAAAACUCCUGUUUUCACGGGCGUCGUCUGAGCUACAAGCAACGAAUCAAACCUUUCACAACCGGAUCUCUUGGUUCUGGCAUC
rnacentral:sRNA from 1 species